UCGGGGGAUAAGUAGAGUGGCGCACGGGUGAGUAACACGUAGGUAAUCUACCUUCGGGUGGGGAAUAACCCAGGGAAACUUGGGCUAACACCGCAUAAUGCAGCGGCACCACAUGGUGACAGUUGUUAAAGCGGGGGAUCUUAGGACCUCGCGCCUGAAGAGGAGCCUGCGGCGGAUUAGCUAGUUGGUGAGGUAACGGCUCACCAAGGUGACGAUCCGUAGCCGGCCUGAGAGGGCGGUCGGCCACACUGACACUGACAUACGGGUCAGACUCCUACGGGAGGCAGCAGUCGGGAAUUUUGGGCAAUGGGCGAAAGCCUGACCCAGCAACGCCGCGUGAAGGAUGAAAUCCCUCGGGAUGUAAACUUCGCAAGAAUGGGAAGAAUUAGUAGGGGUCAAUACCCCCUAUGAUGACGGUACCAUUUGUAAGCUCCGGCUAACUCCGUGCCAGCAGCCGCGGUAAUACGGGGGGAGCAAGCGUUGUUCGGAUUUACUGGGCGUAAAGGGCGCGUAGGCGGUCAGCACAAGUCAGUUGUGAAAUCUCCGGGCUUAACCCGGAAAGGUCAACUGAUACUGUGCGACUAGAGUGCGGAAGGGGCAACUGGAAUUCUCGGUGUAGCGGUGAAAUGCGUAGAUAUCGAGAGGAACACCUGCGGCGAAGGCGGGUUGCUGGGCCGACACUGACGCUGAUGCGCGAAAGCCAGGGGAGCGAACGGGAUUAGAUACCCCGGUAGUCCUGGCCUUAAACGAUGGAU
rnacentral:rRNA from 1 species